UACGGGGGGAGCAAGCGUUGUUCGGAUUUACUGGGCGUAAAGGGCGCGUAGGCGGUCAGCACAAGUCAGUUGUGAAAUCUCCGGGCUUAACUCGGAAAGGUCAACUGAUACUGUGCGACUAGAGUGCAGAAGGGGCAACUGGAAUUCUCGGUGUAGCGGUGAAAUGCGUAGAUAUCGAGAGGAACACCAGUGGCGAAGGCGGUUACCUGGAGCUUUGCUGACGCUGAUGCGCGAAAGCGUGGGGAGCGAUCCGG
rnacentral:rRNA from 1 species